UUAUAAAACCAGUACGGAAGACAUGCAUCAGUUUAGCACAGAAAUGCAGGAGAACAUGUGUGUGAAACUGGAGUUGUGUUGGUUAAAAACGUAAAGAGAGAUGCAGUGCCUGUCCAGAUCACAGAAACAGAGCCAAGUUUACAUGGGAUCCCACUGACACGGGAAAGGUUUCCACUUUUAAGCCAGAGGAGGAUCUCUACACGUCAACAUGUCUCACCGUGGACCUUUAACCGCGGUCAUAACAACAGUAUUAGGGGUGACUUUAGGGGGUCUGCUCGUAUGGAGAGUUUACCGCACAAAGAGGAGGAGGCUGCCUUCCGUCCAGAAGGUGGCCGAUCCUGUGGAGGCUCUCUGUCCUGUAGAGAAGGAAAUUAAGGCUGUGGAGACUCUGUACACCCCUCCACCGCCCCCCCAACAUCCUCCAGAGAAGGAGUUCACGGUGGUGGAGACUCAGACCACGCAGCCGACCGACCCCUUCAGGAUCCCGUCCUCGGAGCAGCUGCUGACGGUGAAUCCGGUGACCGUGAGGUCGGAGGAGGAGUGGCUGCAGAUCUGGCCGCUGAUGCAGAAGGAGCUGGCGGUGUUUCCUGUUCUUGGGCUCGACUGUGAAUGGGUAAAGGCCGACGGCGUGAGAGCAAACCUUUUGCAUGUUUUUUUAUUUAUGAAAAGGGGAAAAUCCACUCUUGAGUUAUUCAGCAAUGUACCGUGCAUUAGGGCUGUUAAAAUGUGGUUU